rnacentral:rRNA from 1 species
UACGGAGGGGGCUAGCGUUGUUCGGAAUUACUGGGCGUAAAGCGUACGUAGGCGGCUUUGUAAGUUAGAGGUGAAAGCCCGGGGCUCAACCCCGGAAUUGCCUUUAAGACUGCAUCGCUUGAACGUCGGAGAGGUGAGUGGAAUUCCGAGUGUAGCGGUGAAAUGCGUAGAUAUCUGGAGGAACACCGGUGGCGAAGGCGGCAUCCUGGACCAACACUGACGCUGAGGAGCGAAAGCCAGGGGAGCAAACGGG